GGCGUGUGGUAGAGGAGAGCCGGCGAUUGCCAUGGCAACAGACUGACUGAUGGUGCUGCUGCCGUCGGGGUCAACGUCGUCCGUGUGGGCUGAUGCAUGCCGGGCCCUGGCUGCUGAGUCUGGGGAUAUUAAAAUGAAAAUGGUCAAGGAUGAGAGAGAGCUCACAGAGGAGCAGUCCAGACAGGAAGUGCUGCUGCCGAAACGGGACGGAGAGCUCAAACAUGCUGGCAACCCGCUGGUCCUGCGCCAUGCUUGAAAAGGCUGAACUCUGGGAGAAGAGACAUGUAACAACAAUUUAGAGAAAGUAAAAAUCAUUAAAACAUCA